GACGAACGCUGGCGGCGUGCUUAACACAUGCAAGUCGAACGAAAAAUCAUUGAAAGCUUGCUGAUAUGAUUUUUAGUGGCGGACGGGUGAGUAACGCGUGAGGACUUGUCUUAUACAGGGGGACAACAGUUGGAAACGGCUGCUAAUACCCCAUAAGCCUUAGGGUAAAAGGAGCAAUCCGGUAUUAGAGAGACUCGCGUCCUAUCAGCUAGUAGGUGAGGUAACGGCUCACCUAGGCGAAGACGGGUAGCCGGCCUGAGAGGGCGAACGGCCACACUGGAACUGAGACACGGUCCAGACUCCUACGGGAGGCAGCAGUGGGGAAUAUUGGGCAAUGGGGGCAACCCUGACCCAGCGACGCCGCGUGAGUGAAGGAAUCCCUCGGGAUGUAAAGCUCUGUUGUGUGGGAAGAUAAUGACGGUACCACACGAGGAAGCCCCGGCAAACUACGUGCCAGCCGCCGCCGUAA
rnacentral:rRNA from 1 species